rnacentral:rRNA from 1 species
CCUACGGGUGGCAGCAGUGAGGAAUAUUGGUCAAUGGACGAGAGUCUGAACCAGCCAAGUAGCGUGAAGGAUGACUGCCCUAUGGGUUGUAAACUUCUUUUAUAUGGGAAUAAAAUGUUCCACGUGUGGGAUUUUGUAUGUACCAUAUGAAUAAGGAACGGCUAACUCCGUGCCAGCAGCAGCGGUAAUACGGAGGAUCCGAGCGUUAGCCGGAUUUAUUGGGUUUAAGGGGAGCGUAGGUGGAUUGUUAAGUCAGUUGUGAAAGUUUGCGGCUCAACCGUAAAAUUGUAGUUGAAACUGGCAGUCUUGAGUACAGUAGAGGUGGGCGGAAUUCGUGGUGUAGCGGUGAAAUGCUUAGAUAUCACGAAGAACUCCGAUUGCGAAGGCAGUUCACUGGACUGCAACUGACACUGAGGCUCGAAAGUGUGGGUAUCAAACAGGAUUAGAUACCCCGGUAGUC